ncrna:unclassified sequences NiCo riboswitch
ACAGUACAAACUGAACAGGCAGCGUAUCUUUUCGCCAGCCGGGUCGCCGCAAGGCGGCAGCAGAGAAGACAGACAGUCUCUGCGGGACAGUA